rnacentral:rRNA from 1 species
AGUGAACGCUGGCGGCAGGCUUAACACAUGCAAGUCGAACGCCCCGCAAGGGGAGUGGCAGACGGGUGAGUAACGCGUGGGAAUAUCCCCUUUGGUUCAGGAUAGCCCCGGGAAACUGGGAUUAAUACUGGAUAAGAUCUACGGAUGAAAGAUUUAUCGCCGAAGGAUUAGCCCGCGUAAGAUUAGCUAGUUGGUGAGGUAAUGGCUCACCAAGGCUACGAUCUUUAGCUGGUCUGAGAGGAUGAUCAGCCACACUGGAACUGAGACACGGUCCAGACUCCUACGGGAGGCAGCAGUGAGGAAUAUUGGACAAUGGGCGCAAGCCUGAUCCAGCCAUGCCGCGUGAGUGAUGAAGGCCCUAGGGUUGUAAACCGCUUUUAUUAGUGAAGAAUAUGACGGCAACUAAUGAAUAAGGAUCGGCUAACUACGUGCCAGCAGCCGCCGUAA